UGCCGACAUACAUGGUAGCAAACACUCAGCAAAAAGAUAUUUAUUUGGUUGUUUUUUGCUUUCUAUGUUUUUCAAAAUUGCAAGGAGAAGAAGAAAAUACACAAACACAGGUCUCUGCCUUGAGGUCCUAAAAGCUGCAAAUGAGACCUGUCUUACAAGGAAAUAAAAAAGAGACGCACUUCAGUCAAAGUCAUGUUAGAGGCCCUUGUUUGCAGGUGAAAACUGAGCUGGGAUUGAAGGCCAGGCUUUGACCCUGGGCACGGUCUAGGAAGACCAAAGAGCUACACAAGACGCUCUGGGGACAUGGUGAGCAGAGCCACCGAGGUGUGGGUCAGCAGGAAGGCACCGUGGAGACACAGCCCUGCUUCUCUGUGACCAGUGCACAGUUCCAGCGCAAACUGAGCUACCAAAGUUGUGUGAUCACAGGGGCCUUAGGAGAAGCCCACCAUCUCCUCAGCUGGCAAAUCUGAAAUGAUGAUCAUUACAACCUCUGACAGCCGGGCCGGAGCUGGGGUCGCCAAGGCCGCUAUUCAUGGUGACUCAUGGAACAGAGGGUCCACAGUCCAACUCUUACCUCAGCAGAUCACUAUCAUAACCGCUUCAGAACGAGUGCCACUGUGACUCAUCAGAGUGAGACAGAGAAAAAGAGUUUCCAGUAGGAACCUUUGCUCAACGACAUUGAAGGCAACCAGAAGAUGCUACCUGAAAACAUGCCACUCUGGCCUGAGGAUUAUUUUGAGUUGAUGGCAAUUGAGGAACAGCAAAGGCAAGGAAAGCUCUAAAACCCUUUGGUAGAGGAAAUUCACUUUUACAAAAGCAAUUUCUAUUUGUGAAAGUGUCCUCUUCUCUCUUACCUGAGAGUAACUCUUAUUGCCUGAGAUGACUCUUAUCUGCAUAACAAACCUUUGUAAACGUCUCUUACCUGCAUAUCCUACUCGCAUUCCCAUAACUCAUCCCCCAUAAGCACCAAACUUCCCUUCCUUCAUCUCCCUUCUUCUCCACACUUCAUCAUCCUUAAUAUCAUCUGGAAGCCCCAAAGUUAACCACCUGCUUAAGCCACACUUUUUUCGAAAUCCCAGGUGUUGACGUGUCAUUACACCUGGUUUUCCUCUUGUUAAUUUGUGUUUCGUCAGUUUACACAGAGACCCAGACACGGAAUCUCGGAGAACAGAUGGAAAAGGAUUGAGGUCAACACAAUUGAAAGACCCUGGC
rnacentral:lncRNA from 1 species